CAGGAGUAAUAUUCGAGUUCAGCUAAGAAUUUAUAUAUUUUUUUUCAUGUACUCGUAAUAAAGUCAUCCAAUUUAUGAGUUAUCCAUGCAGUGCAGGAGGAGUCGUUGCUUUAUGAGGCAACACGCGCCGUCAGGCUGCCAUGAGCAGCAGUGCGAGGCUGGUCAGAUGGUAACGGGAUACUGAACAGUGUUGAGGCACCUGGCGGUAACACUCCGACCUUGAAGGUGUAAGCCUUGCGCCACCUGAGGGAAGGGGAGGGAGCGGCAGUGCGGGGAAGAGGAACUAGGUGUGAGUGGGUGGCCACCAUCAAUCUCCUUCGAGCCUCUCUGUGCUGCUUCCAGCUGUCUGCUCCCCGGCAUAAGGCGCAGGUACCGCAUCCUGUCAGAAGGGCGCACGAAGCGGAGAUCUGUGCCGUCUCGAUCGUGGGGCACCACAGGCUGACUUUGAGAUCUGGCGUAUGGCGGGCAUUGAGCCAAGGCAGGAUCAGCGUGACCUCCAGCCAGGCAAACCGGCCGAAGCAAGCGGGUGUUGGGGUAAUUUCCCGCACGGACCACGAGGUUUCCAUCGAGGUGUGGCCAUCAGGAGCAGGUUGGCCAUGGACGAGCACUGUUUACAUUUUCAUAAGAAGCGAACAUAAUGUGACUUUAAUUAUUCCUACUAAUUACUGCACUGACUUUCAUUAUUAGUAUUGAACUUAGUAUUUUCAGAGGUUUCGGCGCCUGCCUCGUCCAUUACUCCAACAGGCUCCAGUGGAAGGUUAAUAUGGAGAAUAAGGAAUGCUACCUCGAAUUACAGGUCUUCAGAACGCACACCUCCCGCUAUCUCAUGAAUAACAAUCCAAUCCCACCGAGAGAUACUGGAGGCGAGGCAGGGAGGAACACAAGACAGGCAUCACGAAAAUCAAAUUAAGCACUCAUCACCAUCUUUUGCAAAGUGUGUGUGCAUGCGGCAUUCAGAUGAAACAACCUUCACGGCCAGGCAGGUGUUUCCCGCUGACCAAGCCGCUGGUCAGAAGUCCUUGGGGCGGAGAGA